rnacentral:rRNA from 1 species
AUUCUCCUAGUAACGGCGAGUGAACGGAGAUUAGCCCAUCACCGAAGUCUAUCUGCUUUUGCGGACAGGACAAUGUGGUGUUCAGACAUGCCCCUGGGAGCGCUUGCCUACUCGAAGUCCAUCUCCGAUUCUGGCUUGGACUAUAUCCAUAGCGGGUGAAAGACCCGUGCGGGUAGGCUCUUGUUGCAAUAAGCGAUCCUCAGAUGUGCAUGUUCUCGAGUCGGAUUGCUUGAGAAUGCAGUCCAAAGUGGGUGGUAAACUCCAUCCAAGGCUAAAUACUGGCGCGAGUCCGAUAGUAGACAAGUACCGUGAGGGAAAGUUGAAAAGUACUCUGAAGAGAGAGUAAAUAGCACGUGAAGCCGCUUGCAGGGAAGCUGGUGGAGUCAAGCUUCAUGCUUGGCGGAUUGUUUGGAGAGACACUAUUGUGUUGGGACGUGGCUUUGGCGAGCCUGGAAACGGCCUGGCGUGCGCGAGUACGCUUCAAGUCAUUCUGGGAUGAGUGUUUGUGCCUUUGCCUAUCUCCCGUGUCUCUCCGAGCUUAUUCGCCUCUGCAUACAUCACGGUCAAUAGGAUCACCUGUGGUCUUUGGUGCUGUGCGAGCGCUUAACCGUGCCUUUGUGGACUUCACCGUCUGCUGGGCUCGGGAUGGCAGAAGGCACAGGGUGGACCUCGCGUCCGCCCGGUGCGUAUGUUGGUUUUGACCUGCUAGUGCUCAUGUACAGUAUCGAUUCUAUUGUGCUUUGCGAUGCUCGCUCCUCGGAGCGGGUGUCUGUGAGAACCGUGGUGC